UACACUCCUACGGGAGGCAGCAGUGGGGAAUUUUGGACAAUGGGCGAAAGCCUGAUCCAGCAAUGCCGCGUGAGUGAAGAAGGCCUUCGGGUUGUAAAGCUCUUUUGUCAGGGAAGAAACGGUGAAAGCUAAUAUCUUUUGCUAAUGACGGUACCUGAAGAAUAAGCACCGGCUAACUACGUGCCAGCAGCCGCGGUAAUACGUAGGGUGCAAGCGUUAAUCGGAAUUACUGGGCGUAAAGCGUGCGCAGGCGGUUUUGUAAGUCUGAUGUGAAAUCCCCGGGCUCAACCUGGGAAUUGCAUUGGAGACUGCAAGGCUAGGAUCUGGCAGAGGGGGGUAGAAUUCCACGUGUAGCAGUGAAAUGCGUAGAUAUGUGGAGGAACACCGAUGGCGAAGGCAGCCCCCUGGGUCAAGAUUGACGCUCAUGCACGAAAGCGUGGGGAGCAAACAGGAUUAGAAACCCUGGUAGUCCC
rnacentral:rRNA from 1 species